rnacentral:lncRNA from 1 species
CGAAGGUAAUUAAAUUACCUUCGCACAGUUCUUGCAUUUGCACAAUUCAAAUAAGAAUGAAGAGAGAAUGGCUUACCUGCUUCUGGAGAUCGUGAGGAGGCUGGCAGCAGAGUGAUUUCGCUCUUGACUGUGUAUGACUGUCCCCUUUUGUUUUCCUCUUGUUUCGGUGAUGAUGAAGGUCACGGCUUGUUGCUUGGUUUUUUUUUUCUUUUCUGAUUUGCAGGGGGAAUUGAGGAGAUUGUGAUGUUAAUGUUGGGUUUUCUGGGUUUCUAUGCUUGCGUUUUCUCUGUUUUGUUUUUGGCUGUGUAUUUUCUUUCUCUCAGUUUUUUUGCUGGGUUUUUCUCCUCUGUCCCGCUCUGUCUCUCCCCUGUCUUCGCUGGUUUUUUUCCUCUG